AGGGUUUGAUCAUGGCUCAGAUUGAACGCUGGCGGCAUGCCUUACACAUGCAAGUCGAACGGCAGCACGGGAGCUUGCUCCUGGUGGCGAGUGGCGAACGGGUGAGUAAUAUAUCGGAACGUGCCCUAGAGUGGGGGAUAACUAGUCGAAAGAUUAGCUAAUACCGCAUACGAUCUAAGGAUGAAAGUGGGGGAUCGCAAGACCUCAUGCUCGUGGAGCGGCCGAUAUCUGAUUAGCUAGUUGGUGAGGUAAAGGCUCACCAAGGCGACGAUCAGUAGCUGGUCUGAGAGGACGACCAGCCACACUGGAACUGAGACACGGUCCAGACUCCUACGGGAGGCAGCAGUGGGGAAUUUUGGACAAUGGGCGCAAGCCUGAUCCAGCAAUGCCGCGUGAGUGAAGAAGGCCUUCGGGUUGUAAAGCUCUUUUGUCAGGGAAGAAACGGUUCUGGUUAAUACCCGGGGCUAAUGACGGUACCUGAAGAAUAAGCACCGGCUAACUACGUGCCAGCAGCCGCGGUAAUACGUAGGGUGCAAGCGUUAAUCGGAAUUACUGGGCGUAAAGCGUGCGCAGGCGGUUGUACAAGACAGAUGUGAAAUCCCCGGGCUUAACCUGGGAAUUGCAUUUGUGACUGUAC
rnacentral:rRNA from 1 species